AGAGUUUGAUCCUGGCUCAGGACGAACGCUGGCGGCGUGCCUAACACAUGCAAGUCGAACGGAGUUAUAGGGUAGCUUGCUACCCGAACAACUUAGUGGCGCACGGGUGAGUAACACGUGGGCAAUCUGCCCGGAAGUCUGGGAUAACAGCUCGAAAGGGCUGCUAAUACCGGAUAUCUUCAAGAAGUCGCAUGACUUACUGAAGAAAGUUUUUCCGCUUCCGGAUGAGCCCGCGUCCCAUUAGCUAGUUGGUGAGGUAACGGCUCACCAAGGCAACGAUGGGUAGCUGGUCUGAGAGGACGAUCAGCCACACUGGAACUGAGACACGGUCCAGACUCCUACGGGAGGCAGCAGUGGGGAAUCUUGCGCAAUGGGCGAAAGCCUGACGCAGCAACGCCGCGUGAAUGAUGAAGGCCUUCGGGUCGUAAAAUUCUGUCAGGGGGGAAGAAGAUCUGACGGUACCCCCGGAGGAAGCCCCGGCUAACUACGUGCCAGCAGCCGCGGUAAUAC
rnacentral:rRNA from 1 species